AUGACUUCUGAAUUGCAGUGAGAAUUUGGCAAAUGAUCUCUGGUUGAAGAACAGCCACCAAAACCUGAGUGCAAAUUACAAACUGCAGAAUUUUCUAGUUCAAAGAAAAACAGAAAGAAACAGGUGCAAAAUACAUUUCCUUAAAAAAAAAUGUUCUAUUCAGUCUCUUUGGUGGACUCUGGGAAGCUGGUGGCACUGGGUAGCCUCUUGUUGCUGAUCUUCUCACAAAUACUGGUAAAAGAGGCUAUGUCUCCCACCCUGAUGGAUAUGGCUCUGCAUUCCUUUGAUGACCAGUACCUGGGGUGCAGAGAGGAGAUGAUGGAAGAACUGGAGCAAGGAGACUAUUUUCAAAAGGAAAUAGCUGAUAACAAGGACUACUUUCGUCUCUGGAAGAAGGCUCAGGAGGUUUUGCUAAAGAGCCCUGUAGGUCUCCUGAGGGAAAUGCGUGUCAGCCAUGCCAUAGUCCUCAUGGCUUACACCAUGAACUCCUCCUUGCACUUGCAGCUGAAACGGGCUACAUCUACAUCAGGAAUCUCUCCAGAGCACUACAGACACAAGUUCAGUUUUAAAUAUUUUCACUUCUACCUAACAACUGCUAUCCAGAUAUUGAAGGAAUGGCAGAGCAGUAGGGGGGAACAUAAGUGCUACCAGGUGCACAGGGGUGUAAAGGACUUACAUAUCGAGGCCAAGCUUCAAGAAGCGAGAACAGUGGUUAUACUGCACUCACCUCUGCCAUUCUCCCUGGUGUGCUUGGAGUUUCCCUGUGCUUGGCCCACAGUCUCUGAUUCUCUGGCUGCAUCCAUACACGUGCCCUUGAAUAGCAAGAAGCCUAUGGAGUUCCUGCUGCUACAGAAGGUUCAAUCUUCCCUUUGCUUUCAGAUGUAACUCUCCAGCCAAGACUGAAACAUUCAGUCUGGUUCAUCAAAACAGACAUUCUCUGGACCCAUUCAAGUAGGAAGAAAGUUCUAUGGCCUUUCUGAAGACUAGAUUAGGAGUAACCUGCACUGUAGACUGCUUUAUUCUGAGGCAUUCAGGAAAGACACACAGGGACUUUGGAUUCCUUACAGAUCUCUUAACAUCUUUACUUUUAGUGAGAAAUGAGAAAGUUCUGUCUGUGGGAUGUAGAAGGCACCAUGGCAGUAAAGUCAAGUGGGUAACUGGGCAGCUGUGCAUAUGUCCUUUGAGUGCAGGGAAAGUUGGUGCCAAGAUGUGCAUGGAGGAGUCGGAUUACUGUGCUGGCUGAAGAGACAGAGAAGUACAUUAAGUUGUUCAGAUUCUGGCAGACCCUGAACAGCCUUUCUUUGCACUCUUAAAACCAAGGUGGGCUAACACUUUUGGAGUGGUGUCUGACUCUGAAAAACAAACAAGAGGAGAUCCAGAAGGCAUUAUUACAGGAGAAUUACAGAGGAAUAAAGGCAUACAAAAGCAGUCAAUGCAAAAACUUGCUAUUUCAAG